rnacentral:lncRNA from 10 species
GGGAACAAAAAAAAGGAAUGGAGACAGCAAGGGAAUCUCGUUAACUUUGUGCGAAACAGCAUAACACUGAUAAAGAAAAGAAGAAGAAAGACCUCAACAGGUGGCGAAAGAAGGCAUAGAAGGAUUGAAUGCUGCCUACCCGACUGGUGGGCUAUUAAUAGUUCCCCUAGAGCAUGUUCUUUAAUAGAAAACGGAGAAAAAUGUAUGAUAAACAAAAAUGUGCAAACCCAAAUGUGCAUGUUAAUCAAUGAUUACGAAUAUGAAUCCACCUAGAUUUCUCAGCUGUCAAAUCUAAGGAUAAAGAAACUCAAAGGAACACCAGCUACAAGGACCGGGAAACAAGACCAAGAGACACUCAGCAACAUUCAGCCAUUGAAUUCACCAAAAACAAAGGACACUGGGAAGAAUUCCUGGAGAAAUGCUCAUCACUUUGACAUUGAACUUGGAAACACAUACGGAAAGACAGAAGACAGACAAAUCACUGAUGCAAACUGAAACCAGAGGAAUUAUUUCAAGCCUCUUGCUCCAACUUUUCCCCAGAAAGCUUUCUUACAUACCCAUGCUGGCUUUUAGACUUUUCAUUUUGGGUCAGGUGGGGAGUCGGGAUCUUAGUACCUGUUUGACUAUGUAAGCGUUAAGCUUUCUCUACACCUAAAUAACAAAAAGGAAAUAAAAAAGUAUAGCAUACUAUGUGCUAACUGCUCACCUACAGCCUUUUAUAGAGAUGCAUCCCCAACCCCAUCUACAAAAGCGAGAACGAUGCCAGAAACAAUACUAUGCACUGAAAUCUCUCAGUGAUCUAAAUAACUCAGGUCCAAAGACCAAGAACAUUCUUCAUGCUGCAUUAAAGUGACAUUGCUCUUGGUAUUAUUAAAACACUUAUAAGUGGCCAUGCUGAAACCCAAUUCUCUGUACCACUGAAAACUCAAUACCAUAAAUCCCAAUGGUUUUAUCUGGACUUUAAAAAAUAAACUUGAGGUGCCUAUCUACCAACUCCCGAAACAGCAUUCCAGACUAUUAAGCACUGCCCUCUGCUUUAUUUUUUAAAAAUGCAUUAUUCAAAUUCAAAUAAAA